CCUACGGGGGGCUGCAGUGAGGAAUAUUGGUCAAUGGACGAGAGUCUGAACCAGCCAAGUAGCGUGAAGGAUGACUGCCCUAUGGGUUGUAAACUUCUUUUAUAUGGGAAUAAAAUGUUCCACGUGUGGGAUUUUGUAUGUACCUUAUGAAUAAGGAUCGGCUAACUCCGUGCCAGCAGCCGCGGUAAUACGGAGGAUCCGAGCGUUACUCGGAUUUAUUGGGUUUAAAGGGAGCGUAGGUGGUUUGUUAAGUCAGUUGUGAAAGUUCGCGGCUCAACCGGAAAAUUGCAGUUGAAACUGGCAGUCUUGAGUGCAGUAGAGGAGAGCGGAAUUCGAGGUGUAGCGGUGAAAUGCUUAGAUAUCUCGAAGAACACCAGUUGCGAAGGCGGCUCACUGGACUGCAACUGACACUGAGGCUCGAAAGUGUGGGUAGCAAACAGGAUUAGAUACCCGAGUAGUC
rnacentral:rRNA from 1 species